GACAGUUACAGCUCUUUUACAAUUUGUCUUGCAGGCUGUUUUUGUUUUUUUUUAAUCAGAAAGCCUCC
ensembl:snRNA U7 U7 small nuclear RNA